GCCUCCCCCUCCCCGGGCUCGAAAAUAAAUUAGCCACCCGGGGGAAAAAGAGCAAAUGACCCUCGGUGUGAGUGUCCUUGCGCCACUCUCAGGCCGCUCGCCCGCUCCCGCCUCCCCCGCCGCCGUCGGAGCGGGAAGUUGCGCUGGGGGUGGAGGCCCGGCCCGGAGGCGGGGAGGCCGGGGAGGCCGGACCGGCGCGGAGGCCAGGGUUGAGCUCCAGGCAGCCGUGAGUGGCCGCUGGCUCUGAGCCGCUUCCUGGGUCGAAGGGCAAAGGGGAAGGCGGCUGGCCAGGCCCGCCCCGUCCGCUGGCUGGCCAAGACCACAGGACUCCUGUGGACUCUCGCCUGCGUCCCUGGCCCGGGUCCGCAGAGCCACCUACAGCGUGCAGGAUGCCCAGGGCAGGCCCGACAGCCAGGCGAGGGCACUGUCUACACAGGUGCCACCGAACAAGUGGGGUGGGGAGUGUACAGGAAGGAGACCGAGCCCAGGAUUGAAGAUCGGACUCAGGGGUGGGACUUAUAAAAGGUCAGUCGUUCUGGAGAGCUCCCCAAGGGAUCGAUGGUCACCCUGGGCCCACCGGCGCGGACUGAAGGAGUCCCAGCCACCGCUGGUAACCAGUGGCAUUACUAGACAACUGCAUUGUGCCAGGCCUUGGCGCUCCUGGUCUAGAGGAGGCACAGUUCUAGGCAGGCGUCUCGGAGCUGCGGUAGUGAUAAAGGCCAAGCCUCCCUCGUGAGCACAGGCGCUGCAGCGCUUAUGGUGGAGGUUCUGGAGGAGCCCGGAGCGUUUGGAGGAUCUGUGACAGUCAUUUCCCACCCAUGGGUAGUGCUUCAGGGCUCUGCCUCUCUUCUGGGCCUUCCUUUUCCUUCCGGGUGCCUGGUCAGCAUGAGCAUCUGCAGGACAGGAUUCACCCUGGAGGGCCUUCCUCCAACCUGCAGAACAGGCCUCUGGCCUCUGAGUCGCAGAACUCUAAACACUGUCUGAUCCCUCCACCAGUGACCAUGCCUCCAGACACUCUGGCAUCCCAUAGACCCGGGCAGCUUCGUGGAUGCCAGGGGAAGGGAAGGUAUAGGCCACCAAUCAUCCUUUUUUUUCCCCUCAUAGUCUAAAUAUGGAAAUAAAACCAACAUCCAACAAAGUUCUGAAACUCAUCAAGCCCCAGAAUUUUCCUGUUUGUACCGCAGCUCUCCAUUCUUACCCCAUACCUCCACCCACACACUCUGACACAAGUCAGGGAUGUGCUAAGACUCAAGAGUGUUGGGUCAGGUCCCUAGUAUCAUAAUCAUAAAGGCAGGGUCACCAUGCCAGCAGGUCGGGAGCUGAGACAAAAAUGAGGAGCUUCCUGAUUGAGGUCCUUCUUUCCUGUUGGGCAUCUGUGGCCAGUCUGAGAGUGCUCAGCAAAGCCUGACCUGGCACCCCUGCACCCCCAUUCUCCUUACCCCCAGCUCGGCUCUUGUAGGCUCCCUUGAGGGCCAGAGGCAGAUUUAAGAGGCCAGUGUCCACAGGGGCUGAGAUACCUCAGUCAUCUGGAACUGUCCCGGGAUGCCAAGCCUGGCUGGCCUUGUUGAUGGGGUGUCUCCGGGGCCAGACCGCACCAGGUUCCAGGAUGAGACGGUGGCAGGAGGAGGCUUCAUCUGAGGCAUCCAGCUUGAAGGAUUGUUCAUGUCUGCCUAAAGACAAACGCCUCCCAGUGCUGGAAUCUCAGGAUAGCUUGUUCGCGCCUCAGAGGGAUGCUCAGUGUGCUGCAGAAGCCUUCCAGGCUCCACAGGAGACCAGUACUGACAGACAUGUGUGGCCAUUGCUCCUGGAAUGAAAACACAGACAUCUCUCUUCAAGGGGGAUCAUCCAUGGUGAGAAGGUAUAGAGCAGUUGACCCGAAUAUGCCUCCUUUCCCCUGAUCUGCUCCAAGCCCUGGAUGUCAUGUUCUUUAGUGGAAGCUGGGUCCCUAGCCCACCUUAGAUGAGUAUUAAUCUCUCUGAGGCACCUCCAUGAAAUCCAAUCUCUCCGCCCGCAUCUGGGCUGCAGAGGGACAUGAGGCAUGAUUUGGGUCUAAGAGACAUGGGAUGUUUUUUUUUUUUUUUUUUUUGAGAAUGUUUGGAAAGAUUCUAAGAGGCCAGAAAAGAGUGCUUUCCCUGGCCUCUGGACAUUGCUAUCUACAGGGGCUGUCUGAAACUGCAGCAUCUCCCACGUGACUUUCAGAGAUGCCAGGGAGACCAACGCAAACCAACAUGGAAAGGAUGGUAGGAAAUAUGGUGGAAUGUUCCUGGAAUGGAAUCCUACUUGGAUCAAAAUGGACUCUACAAAGCAGAUGGACCGCAGACCAGAGUCUGGACUCAGAGACACAAAAGAUGACAUUCAACACCAUCCCAUCACAGAAAGGCCUAGGACAGGCAAAGCUCCCCAGAGGGAGAGCACACCAGUGAUGAGAACAGGGUGGGAUCCAGCACAGGGGACUUUCUGAUGCCAGUUCUGCUUCUUGAUGGUAAUGGUUGGCUUGCCAGGUACAAAUGUGUCAAAAUCCAUCAGUUUCUCAGUCUGUACAUUGUACAUCACAUAAAUUAUUUUUAUAAAGCCAGUGGCCAGGGCUGGAGAGAGAGAGAGAGAGAGAGAGAGAGAGAGAGAGAGAGAGAGAGAGAGAGAGCGCUCAGGCAGAGAAGGGCUUACUUUGUGAUUAAGAACCCACGUUAACCAUAAGAACACACCUAAAAACUCCAAAAAUGGCAGCACACUUAUGAUCUCAGUGCUGUGGGGGUGGAGACAGGCACACCCUCGGCAGAUCUAUAAUAAACAUUAUUAGUAGACACUUUAAAA